AUCUAUGGUCAUACCACUCGGAACACACCCAAUCUUGUCUGAUCUUGGAAGAUAAGCAGGGUCGGGCCUGGUUAGUACUUGGAUGGGAGACUACCAGGUGAUACUGGAUGCUGUGGGCU
rnacentral:rRNA from 1 species